rnacentral:tRNA from 1 species
GCCCCGGUUGCUCAGUUGGAAAGAGCGCUUCUCUCACUAAGGGGAAGUCGUGGGUUCGAGUCCCACCCGGGGCGCCG